GUACACAACUCGUCCACUGCGGUUUCCUGUGCGCCGUCUACGACCACCUGACGGCUGCCCGCCACGGCAUGUGGUUAGUC
rnacentral:sRNA from 11 species